rnacentral:rRNA from 1 species
AGAGUUUGAUCAUGGCUCAGAAUCAACGCUGGCGGCGUGCCUCAGACAUGCAAGUCGAACGAUUAAGACUUCCUUCGGGAAGUGUAUAAAGUGGCGCACGGGUGAGUAACACGUAAGUAAUCUACCUUCGAGUGGGGAAUAACGUUCGGAAACGAACGCUAAUACCGCAUAAUGCAGCGGCAUCGCAAGAUGACAGUUGUUAAAGGAAUUUAUUUCGCUUGAAGAGGAGCUUGCGGCAGAUUAGCUAGUUGGUAAGGUAACGGCUUACCAAGGCUACGAUCUGUAUCCGGUCUAAGAGGACGGUCGGACACACUGACACUGAAUAACGGGUCGGACUCCUACGGGAGGCAGCAGUCGGGAAUUUUGGGCAAUGGGCGAAAGCCUGACCCAGCAACGCCGCGUGAAGGAUGAAGUAUUUCGGUAUGUAAACUUCGAAAGAAUGGGAAGAAUAAAUGACGGUACCAUUUAUAAGCUCCGGCUAACUACGUG